CCACGUGAGAAGAUAGUGGCGAACGGGUGAGUAACACGUGGGUAACCUGCCCAUAAGAGGGGGGAUAACAUCCGGAAACGGGUGCUAAUACCGCAUAGUUUCUUGAUCGCAUGAUUGAGAAAGGAAAGACGGCCUUUGUGCUGUCGCUUAUGGAUGGACCCGCGGCGUAUUAGUUAGUUGGUGAGGUAACGGCUCACCAAGACGAUGAUACGUAGCCGACCUGAGAGGGUGAUCGGCCACAUUGGGACUGAGACACGGCCCAAACUCCUACGGGAGGCAGCAGUAGGGAAUCUUCCGCAAUGGACGAAAGUCUGACGGAGCAACGCCGCGUGAGUGAAGAAAAGGGUUUUCGGAUCGUAAAACUCUGUUGCCAGAGAAGAACAAGUUGGAGAGUAACUGCUCCAGCCUUGACGGUAUCUGACCAGAAAGCCACGGCUAACUACGUGCCAGCCGCCGC
rnacentral:rRNA from 1 species